UUAAAGCCGCUGAAUUGUUCGCGUUUACCUUGCGUGUACGCGCAGGAAACACUGACGUUCUUACUGACGCAGAAGAAAACGUGCGUCAAAAAUUACGUGCAGAAGGAGUGAUGUAAUGUCUAAAGGUAAAAAACGUUCUGGCGCUCGCCCUGGUCGUCCGCAGCCGUUGCGAGGUACUAAAGGCAAGCGUAAAGGCGCUCGUCUUUGGUAUGUAGGUGGUCAACAAUUUUAAUUGCAGGGGCUUCGGCCCCUUACUUGAGGAUAAAUUAUGUCUAAUAUUCAAACUGGCGCCGAGCGUAUGCCGCAUGACCUUUCCCAUCUUGGCUUCCUUGCUGGUCAGAUUGGUCGUCUUAUUACCAUUUCAACUA
rnacentral:rRNA from 1 species